GCUCCCAUAGCUCAGCUGGUUAGAGCGUGGUGCUAAUAACGCCAAGGUCGUGAGUUCAAUCCUCACUGGGAGCA